GCGACGGUAACUCAGCUGGGAGAGUGCCAGACUGAAGAUCUGGAAGUCGCCGGUUCAAGCCCGGCCCGUCGCACCA
rnacentral:tRNA from 2 species